rnacentral:rRNA from 1 species
GCAUAUCAAUAAGCGGAGGAAAAGAAAACAACUGUGAUUCCCUUAGUAAUGGCGAAUGAAACGGGAACAGCCCAUCGCGUAACUGCAGGUCAUCUUGGCCUCGCGGAAUGUCGCGUUUGGGAGAGUCUCAUCGGGAGCUGGACGGCCAGUCAAAGUCCAACUUGACAGUGGCCACUGCCCAUAGAGGGUGAUAGGCCCGUAAGGCGGCCGUCCGUUUCCGCCGACUUUUCCCUAGAGUCGGGUUGCUUGGGAGUGCAGCCCAAAGUGCGAGGUAAACUCCUCGUAAGGCUAAAUAUGACCCCGAGACCGAUAGCAAACAAGUACCGUGAGGGAAAAUUGAAAAGAACUUUGAAGAGAGAGUUCAAUAGUACGUGAAACUGUGUGGUGGUAAACGGAGGGGUUCUCGAAGUUUCUGCGUGGAACUCAACCUUGGUGUCGGGCGGUCCUGGUGUAUCUGAUCAGCAAUGACAGUUCGCUUGGUUCGGCUUGGCUCCCGGGUGCAUUUUCCAAGCAGUUUACGGCAGGAACCGUUUGGCUCGGACCGAAGGCCUCGGGCGAAGUUGUAGGUAUUUUGCUUGCAGCCCCGGGUGUCCUGGCUCUGCGCUCGACGGGUACGUGAGAGGACUCGUAUAGCGAGCAACGCUCUGUUUGCGGUUCUCAUCUCUCUGCCGAGUAGGUCGGCGGCCCCUCCGACCCGUCUUGAAACA